AUUGAACGCUGGCGGCAGGCCUAACACAUGCAAGUCGAGCGGAGCGCGGGACGGGUGCGUAAUGCCUAGGUAUCUGCCUGGUCGUGGGGGAUAACGUCCGCAAAUGGGAGCUAAUACUGCAUACUCUUAGAUGCGCCUAGGUGGGAUUAGCUAGUUGGUGGGGUAAGGGCCUACCAAGGCGACGAUCCGUAGCUGGUCUGAGAGGAUGAUCAGUCACACUGGAACUGAGACACGGUCCAGACUCCUACGGGAGGCAGCAGUGGGGAAUAUUGGACAAUGGGCGAAAGCCUGAUGCAGCCAUGCCGCGUGUGUGAAGAAGGUCUUCGGAUUGUAAAGCACUUUAAGUUGGGAGGCGUUACCAACAGAAUAAGCACCGGCUAACUUCGUGCCAGCAGCCGCGGUAAUAC
rnacentral:rRNA from 1 species